UAGCGUAAAAGGCUCCCGGAGCGUCACUCGAGACUUUGGGCGCUCGACCAUGCUCCCAUCUCUUCUCGUGCCGAUGCUCUGUCAUUUGUACAUUUUCCGAAGAGGUAAAUCACGCGAUAGUGCGAAACAGUUCGCUUACGCGAGUGACUUUUUUUUCGUUUUAUUUCAUCAAGAGAUUAUUUUCAUAAAAGUGCGCCUUCAAGUACGAGAUGUACGAGGCAAUGCAUCGAUCAGCUGUGCGCAGUAAUUAGUAUUAGCAUUCAAUAAUGCUGCACACACUCAUUCCAUGAAUAUUCCAUAUAUGCAAUUAUGUUUGGCUCACAAUGAUUAUCGCUGCACAUCAUACACGGAAUUAAUUACUUUUAUUAGAAAUAUGAGUGAUGUCCAAAUGCGUACAAAAGGCGCUCUUGAAAUAUAUUUAUUAUUUUCGUCAAUCGGAAACGUAAUCGAGCGUCGGCGGAUCGCAAGUGGAUCAUGCAAUUAUUCGUGUGAAUAAUUUCCCGUGCAGUCGGUGCCACGUGAUUACGUCACAAGUGUAAUUCCGUGUAGUUAAUAACGGUCAGCGUCACGUAAGCCGGCGUGAUUUACAUCAACGAUGUCAACGUGUAAUAAAAGCACUAACGUCGAGAAAUAACGCUGGACUCCAGCGGCAAUUAACUAUGAUGAACGACUCGUUAAACGAGGAAGAUAUUUGGCAGGAAUGCCAAAAGUGCAACGAGACCAGUUGUUUUUGCGUCCAGUUUCGAAAGCGAGCGAUCGAUCGCGUCUUCUGUUGCCGCGUUUCAACACGUUCGCAUCUCUAGCCGAUCCCGUCGUGAAAUAUUCAAGUCAAUAAGUAGCGUCAAUAGUGCCACGUGUGCUCUUCAGAUUCGUCUGCCAUCCAAUCGCAACGUGAUCCGUUGCACCGAUAUUAUUUAAAAUGAGGUAAUCAGGACGCGUAACGCAUUCAAACGCGCGAGAACUACGCUCACGCGUUUAAUUAUACGCUACAAUAAAUCUCUGUUGUACGCCGUGAUCCCCUUAUCUGAAUCACGUCGUCGCGUCGGCGCGUUUCCAGUGGGGAUCCUCUUCCCGCAAAAACGCGAUCGCGAAUCAUCCGGUACAACCGGUACGCGCAUUGGGGACUGCACCGCUUUCACCAUAACGUUACCUUUGUUGUAGACAAACGGAUCUAGUGACCCCUUAAACUUAAUGCAGUUUAAUGCGACGCAUUGUGUCAGCAGAUGUUUAAUUCGUUAACUAAGAGAAAAUCUUCGAGUCACUCCGAGAAUUAUUAUUAAGAAAAAAUGAAAAGAUCUUAGAGGAACCAUGACUAUGGGACGACAUCGGCCGUACACGCAGCACUAUAUUUCGCACUUCUUUCCUCGUGGUUGAGAGAAAAGAUCGUACGCCUGGUUUCCGCCGAUAAUAUCGCCGACAUUCUCGGUGUUCGGGGAACCGUGCCUCGUUGCAGCUGCAAAAGUUGCAGCUCAGAUGCAGUGUCAUCAAACCGACGCAAAUCACGCCGGUACACGCAGCAAUGCCGAUUAUGGCGAUAAUAAAAAAGCGUGAAGGCCUUACCAUAACGGUUGUGCGGAAGGCGCGCAAUGACCGACAUUGCGAAAGUCCGAUCUCUUUGUAUUCUCUUUUACUAUAUAUAUUUGCCGUUCACUUCUCUCACCUGCUAAGAGGAGUCUGCUCGAAAGGACGACGCCUUCGAGAUCGCGCGUUUUCCACGAAUAGAUCAAUCUUUGUUGCCUCUAUCUUCAAUUUACGCUGACAUAAUCGCCAGUCACGAUUCUUGGAGCGGCUCGGCGUGAAGCGUCACGAAUUUCGCGGCGAAAGUGCAGAGCCGCGAGCCAUUUUUCGGGAAGCUGUUUGAAAUCGCGUGUAACUAUCUCGUGGCGCAACCGUGAGAUAUGUCGUCGCAAUUUGUUAAUUAUAUUUGAAAACCAAUUUCACUAAUAAAAAAAAUUGCACUUUUGUCAUUUAAGUAUUUAUUUAAUUAUUCGACAUGUCACAGUUUCCUUCGACGGGCGCGUGAAAUUUUUUUCGCACUCCUCUCAGCGGCUACUUUCGCGGUAACCACGUUCCUCAAAAACAUUUCUCGUUUUCAUCGCGUGAAAAGUGCUUUCGACGGAAAAUAAUUAAAACUGCUGGCCGGUGCUCGUUUCCACACAAAAGUCGUUCAUUUUUGACGCGUUGUCGCUCACCAAGUAGGGAGGUUUGAGGGGUUGCGAGCCCGGCGAGCCUCGACGGCCACUUAACCGCGUACGUUUCCCGUGCGAGCUUAAUUGCCACGGAGCACGGCAUCACGUGCGUUGGCGAACUAGAUGAAACGACGGAUUACUCCCACGUUUACCCUAACAUCACGUCGAUACACACAAACCGAUCGGACAGGUACAUUUACAGGUAUGCGGCUUUGCCAGUCCGCUCUCAAAAUUAGUUCAUCACUAUGUGAACCAUUGCGACCAUCGUUUGACGAUUAACCCAUUGGGACAUGACCGCUCGCUUGGCAGGACCAAUAUCCCAGUUCGCUGAAGUCGUUAAUCUUCCUUGUCAUCCCUAAGGAGGCGAUGAUGGUUCUUGAUGAAUAAUCGAAAAAGGAGAUUUUCUAAGUGGAUCGUGCGAAGAUCAGAGUAAUCUAGUUUGCGGACGUUUAUUGUUACUCGUUUAUUGUUGAGUGACUGUAAACGUUUUCAUGUAUCCACGGGAACAUGGAAACGCGCGGUUUCCGUGUGAAAAUAUUUCGCGCAACGUGGGGAGGCAAAGGGGUCUCUCGACGGGGUUGGUAUCGCGCACCGUCGAUCUCCGCUGACGCUGCACAACACGCGACAUAACGUGACCAUCGUCAGGUUCAAUGACGACGACCGUAGCGAUUGGUCGAGGACGGCCGUCGUCGUCGCUGCUGGCAUUAUGCACCAUUUAAUACAGCAGACAGGACGCACAGAGAGUGAUGAAUGUGGCCGCCAGAAAUACAUUACGCGCUACCUUCCGCGUAGAUCCUUUCGAAUCUACCUGGUCAUCGACUAGUUCGGUCGAGGAAUAAAACCGAAAAGAAGGAAGUGUAAAACAGAAAUGAGGUAGAGAGACGGUAGUGAGGGCAGAGAGAUGGAGAGAAAUUGCGAGGGGAUACCAUACUCCAUCUGACUCUGCUUCCCACCGGUACGUGUUUCUAUUGCUGCCCUAUCCAGUUUAAUCGGGACGUCCAAUUUAAAUUGUAUACCAGGUACAACGUUGUUCGUGCUAUGGAAUCAUCAUCAUUCAGUAAUGUACUUUAAACGUUCAAGCUUAUCCUCUCACAUUAACAUUGUGCUUUGAUUAAGAGUCCUAAUUAAUCAAGAAUUUCGUUAAUUCGUUGGCUUCUCAGAAAAUGUUUCAUUCGGAUAGUACAUUUUAAUUACUUAAAUUAUUAAAUUUCGGUUUUUCCGAUAUUUUUUUCCACAAAUCACCGAAUCCAUCAUCGAUCAUAUUAAAUUCCAGAAAUUUUGCUCAUAGCGACAUUUUUCUUGCGUUUCGCAUUAACUCACGGCAGGCGGAAUCCGACGUAUCCGACUAUACUGGAUCCCAAUGAUGCCACAACGUUGUGGAGGAGCAAUU
rnacentral:misc_RNA from 1 species